UGUGACAUGAAAGGAUCGACCUAA
rnacentral:piRNA from 1 species